UACGAAGGGGGCUAGCGUUGCUCGGAAUGACUGGGCGUAAAGGGCGCGUAGGCGGUUUGUACAGUCAGGCGUGAAAGUCCUGGGCUCAACCUGGGGGCUGCUUUUGAUACGUAUGAGCUUGAGUUCGGAAGAGGGUCGUGGAAUUCCCAGUGUAGAGGUGAAAUUCGUAGAUAUUGGGAAGAACACCGGUGGCGAAGGCGGCGACCUGGUCCGAUACUGACGCUGAGGCGCGAAAGCGUGGGGAGCAAACAGG
rnacentral:rRNA from 1 species